AGAGGUUGUAGAAGAAGAAGUUGUUGAGACUGUGAAAGACACAGAAGAGGAACCAAAGAAGGAAGAAGAAGAGACCAAGACAGAAGAACCUGUUGAGGAAACAAAAGAAGAAAAUGCUGAUUCUGUUGCUGAGGUUGUUCAGGAAACAAAAGAAAAUGGCGAGACAGAAAAUGUUGUUAAGGAUGAGAAUGUGAUUGCUGAGUCUGAAACUAUAGACAAUAUUGUUAACGUAGAAGAAGCCAAAGAAGAGAAAAGUGAAGAGAAUGUUGAGAAAAAAGAAACCUCAGAAGAGAAAAAUGAAGAAAAAGUUGAGAAAGAAGAAGCAUCAGAUGAAAAGAAAGAAGAGGAAGUGAUCACUGAGAAGAAGAAGAAGAAGACUGAAGAAGAGGCUCCAAUUGAGAAGAGUGGAUAAGGAAAG
rnacentral:lncRNA from 1 species